rnacentral:lncRNA from 10 species
UGUAGAAUGUGGUCUCUCUCUGUCUCAGUAGCCAUAAGGUUCUGUUUAAACUUAGGAAUUCUGUUUCUAUAGAAUUAGGGGAAGACCAAUAUUAGCAACAAGAAGCCUCUGCCACCAUGGAAGAAGGAUCUGGAAAGAAGGAUGGGAUCUCAGCCUGAUGGCAGGUCUUACCCAAGAGGGAAUUUUUUUCUCAGGAGAGUGAAGAAAGCCUGGCUUUCCUCAUCAGCUCUCUUUGUGUUGAAUUCAUCAGUCAUGACAAUCAUUUGAGAAACCUUAGAAGAUCAUCCCAAACCUGGAAAAAGUCAGUUACAUUAGGAAAGGAGUGAGCAUAAAGAGCACCUACUAGAGAGAGGGUCCUUUCACACACAUGACCUCAUGUAACCUUCACAAUCAUGCCAUGAGAGUAUUUACAGCCUCUGCUGUUGCUCUGCUUCUAUCUGGUGGAUUAAGGAAAGUCACAACUCACAGCCCUAGUGGAAAGUUACAACUGGGAUUUGAGCUAACGAAGAGUUGAAGACUCAGCAACAGGCGCUUGGCUUCACUAUUAACCUGGACAAGGCCAUUAACUCGCCUGUACUUAAUUGGCUUGUUCUGUGACACACUGUUGCCCCAGAAACACCCAUAUGGGUGUACCCCACAUUAAAGAAGCCCGCUCUAUGAAAACC